CAAGAUGUAUAUGCAAGGUGGGGUAAAAUAAGUUAAUAAGAGUUGGGCUAAUCAGUUUGUUUCUCUCUCUCAAGGUUGACAAUAAAAAGGGAGGGGCUUCCAAAUACAAGCACCAGGAGGAGGGUCAUGACAGACUUUCAAAGAAUAAGAUGCUACGUUGAAGAAGUGGCCGGCAGCCAGCCGAGGGCAGAUAGGCACAUCUAUUAAUUCGAAGCUCACGGAGCUGAGAAGAGCAAAAAGAUAAA